rnacentral:rRNA from 1 species
GAUGAACGCUGGCGGCGUGCCUAAUACAUGCAAGUCGAGCGAACGGACGAGAAGCUUGCUUCUCUGAUGUUAGCGGCGGACGGGUGAGUAACACGUGGAUAACCUACCUAUAAGACUGGGAUAACUUCGGGAAACCGGAGCUAAUACCGGAUAAUAUUUUGAACCGCAUGGUUCAAAAGUAAAAGACGGUCUUGCUGUCACUUAUAGAUUGAUCCGCGCUGCAUUAGCUAGUUGGUAAGGUAACGGCUUACCAAGGCAACGAUGCAUAGCCGACCUGAGAGGGUGAUCGGCCACACUGGAACUGAGACACGGUCCAGACUCCUACGGGAGGCAGCAGUAGGGAAUCUUCCGCAAUGGGCGAAAGCCUGACGGAGCAACGCCGCGUGAGUGAUGAAGGUCUUCGGAUCGUAAAACUCUGUUAUUAGGGAAGAACAUAUGUGUAAGUAACUGUGCACAUCUUGACGGUACCUAAUCAGAAAGCCACGGCUAACUACGUG